UAGUGGCGAACGGGUGAGUAACACGUGGGCAAUCUGCCCUUCACUCUGGGACAAGCCCUGGAAACGGGGUCUAAUACCGGAUAUGAGCCUGGGAGGCAUCUCCCGGGUUGUAAAGCUCCGGCGGUGAAGGAUGAGCCCGCGGCCUAUCAGCUUGUUGGUGAGGUAAUGGCUCACCAAGGCGACGACGGGUAGCCGGCCUGAGAGGGCGACCGGCCACACUGGGACUGAGACACGGCCCAGACUCCUACGGGAGGCAGCAGUGGGGAAUAUUGCACAAUGGGCGAAAGCCUGAUGCAGCGACGCCGCGUGAGGGAUGACGGCCUUCGGGUUGUAAACCUCUUUCAGCAGGGAAGAAGCGAAAGUGACGGUACCUGCAGAAGAAGCGCCGGCUAACUACGUGCCAGCAGCCGCGGUAAUACGUAGGGCGCAAGCGUUGUCCGGAAUUAUUGGGCGUAAAGAGCUCGUAGGCGGCUUGUCACGUCGAUUGUGAAAGCCCGAGGCUUAACCUCGGGUCUGCAGUCGAUACGGGCUAGCUAGAGUGUGGUAGGGGNAGAUCGGAAUUCCU
rnacentral:rRNA from 1 species